rnacentral:lncRNA from 1 species
AUAGAAACAAAUUACAUAACGAGAUACUUAUUUCAAGAUGGUUAGCAAUCUGCUGAAGGUAGAAAAUAUACAAUAUCAAGAUUAUAUUUUUGGUGAUGGCUUGCUCUAUUUUAAGAAGCAAAUUUAUGUACCCAAUAAUACUAAACUCUGAACGCACAUACUUUAGGAGAGACAUGUCAUCCCAAUAUUUGAAUAUCUGAGAUGAGAGAAGAUCCUAAAACAAAUCUCAAGGACAUAGUUUUGGAUAGGUUUGGAUUGUGAUGUUUGAGCCUUUAUACACUCCUAUAAGUUAUGUCAACAUAACAAAGUAUGCAAUGUAACAUCUCUUAGAUUAUUGCAGCCAAUUCUGCUACCUAUGACAUGUUGGGAGUACGUGACUAUAGAUUCCAUUACGUUAUCGUACUGUAAAUGCUUAUAGUAUGUAAAAAUUAGUUAAAAU